GACGUAGGGCGCGAGCGUUGUUCGGAAUUACUGGGCGUAAAGGGCUCGUAGGCGGCCAACUAAGUCGGACGUGAAAUCCCCAGGCUCAACCUGGGAACUGCGUCUGAUACUGGAUGGCUUGAAUCCGGGAGAGGGAUGCAGAAUUCCAGGUGUAGCGGUGAAAUGCGUAGAUAUCUGGAGGAAUACCGGUGGCGAAGGCGGCAUCCUGGACCGGCAUUGACGCUGAGGAGCGAAAGCCAGGGGAGCAAACGGG
rnacentral:rRNA from 1 species